UACGUAGGGUGCAAGCGUUGUCCGGAAUCACUGGGCGUAAAGCGCACGUAGGCGGCUUUUUAAGUCAGGGGUGAAAUCCUGGAGCUCAACUCCAGAACUGCCUUUGAUACUGAGAAGCUUGAGUCCGGGAGAGGUGAGUGGAACUGCGAGUGUAGAGGUGAAAUUCGUAGAUAUUCGCAAGAACACCAGUGGCGAAGGCGGCUCACUGGCCCGGUACUGACGCUGAGGUGCGAAAGCGUGGGGAGCAAACAGG
rnacentral:rRNA from 1 species